rnacentral:rRNA from 1 species
UAAGUCCCGCAACGAGCGCAACCCUUGUCCUUAGUUGCCAGCCUUUAGUUGGGCACUCUAAGGAGACUGCCGGUGACAAACCGGAGGAAGGUGGGGACGACGUCAAGUCAUCAUGGCCCUUACGUGUAGGGCUACACACGUGCUACAAUGGUAUGUACAGAGGGAAGCGAGACAGUGAUGUGGAGCGGACCCCUUAAAGCAUAUCGUAGUCCGGAUUGGAGUCUGCAACUCGACUCCAUGAAGUCGGAAUCGCUAGUAAUCGUGAAUCAGAAUGUCACGGUGAAUACGUUCCCGGGCCUU